AAGUCGUAACAAGGUUUCCGUAACACCUCCGUGGAGCCUUGGAGAUGCGCGACUUGUUAAAGAAUGUCGUCCACAGCCCCGAGACGAGUGAUCUCGGGGGCGACGUCACCUAAAUGCUGGGACCCUUCUUCAGUGAAGAGCGAUCAGCAGCCGGGGCCUUCCGGUUCACAGAUUAGAUGGUGACGGUCAGGUAGUUGGGAUCUCCCACUCUUGUCCCCCCCUCUCGGGGAGCCUGAUGAAGAUAUAAUCGGUCCGCUGUCCGGUGGACAGCGUGGGUGGACGUUCCGUAGGUGAACCUGCGGAAGGAUCAUUA
rnacentral:rRNA from 1 species